UCCGUAGGGGGCGAUCGUUGUCCGGAUUUACUGGGCGUAAAGCGCGUGUAGGCGGUGCCUUAAGUCCGGGGUGAAAGGCGGAGGCUUAACCGCCGAGGUGCGUCGGAAACUGGGAGUCUUGAGUGUCGGAGAGGGGCGUGGAAUUCCAGGUGUAGCGGUGAAAUGCGUAGAGAUCUGGAGGAACACCGGUGGCGAAGGCGGCGACCUGGCCGAAAAUUGACGCUGAGACGCGAAAGCGCGGGGAGAGAACGGG
rnacentral:rRNA from 1 species